GUGCUCGCUUCGGCAGCACGUAUACUAAAAUUGGAAUGAUAACAGAGAAGAUUAGCAUGGCCCCUGCCCAAGGGAGACUGUCUCAGUCUGUAACCCAGGAUGGCUUU